CUUUUACAAUGAAGAGUUUGAUCCUGGCUCAGGAUGAACGCUAGCUACAGGCUUAACACAUGCAAGUCGAGGGGCAGCAUUCCAGUUUGCUUGCAAACUGGAGAUGGCGACCGGCGCACGGGUGAGUAACACGUAUCCAACCUGCCGAUAACUCGGGGAUAGCCUUUCGAAAGAAAGAUUAAUACCCGAUGGCAUAAUAGAACCGCAUGGUUUGAUUAUUAAAGAAUUUCGGUUAUCGAUGGGGAUGCGUUCCAUUAGGCAGUUGGUGGGGUAACGGCCCACCAAACCUUCGAUGGAUAGGGGUUCUGAGAGGAAGGUCCCCCACAUUGGAACUGAGACACGGUCCAAACUCCUACGGGAGGCAGCAGUGAGGAAUAUUGGUCAAUGGACGAGAGUCUGAACCAGCCAAGUAGCGUGAAGGAUGACUGCCCUAUGGGUUGUAAACUUCUUUUAUAUGGGAAUAAAGUGGUCCACGUGUGGAUUUUUGUAUGUACCAUAUGAAUAAGGAUCGGCUAACUCCGUGCCAGCAGCCGCGGUAAUACGGAGGAUCCGAGCGUUAUCCGGAUUUAUUGGGUUUAAAGGGAGCGUAGGUGGACAGUUAAGUCAGUUGUGAAAGUUUGCGGCUCAACCGUAAAAUUGCAGUUGAUACUGGCUGUCUUGAGUACAGUAGAGGUGGGCGGAAUUCGUGGUGUAGCGGUGAAAUGCUUAGAUAUCACGAAGAACUCCGAUUGCGAAGGCAGCUCACUGGACUGCAACUGACACUGAUGCUCGAAAGUGUGGGUAUCAAACAGGAUUAGAUACCCUGGUAGUCCACACAGUAAACGAUGAAUACUCGCUGUUUGCGAUAUACAGUAAGCGGCCAAGCGAAAGCAUUAAGUAUUCCACCUGGGGAGUACGCCGGCAACGGUGAAACUCAAAGGAAUUGACGGGGGCCCGCACAAGCGGAGGAACAUGUGGUUUAAUUCGAUGAUACGCGAGGAACCUUACCCGGGCUUAAAUUGCAUUUGAAUAAUCAAGAAAUUGGUUAGUCGUAAGACAAAUGUGAAGGUGCUGCAUGGUUGUCGUCAGCUCGUGCCGUGAGGUGUCGGCUUAAGUGCCAUAACGAGCGCAACCCUUAUCUUCAGUUACUAACAGGUUAUGCUGAGGACUCUGGAGAGACUGCCGUCGUAAGAUGUGAGGAAGGUGGGGAUGACGUCAAAUCAGCACGGCCCUUACGUCCGGGGCUACACACGUGUUACAAUGGGGGGUACAGAAGGCCGCUACCUGGUGACAGGAUGCUAAUCCCAAAAGCCUCUCUCAGUUCGGAUCGAAGUCUGCAACCCGACUUCGUGAAGCUGGAUUCGCUAGUAAUCGCGCAUCAGCCAUGGCGCGGUGAAUACGUUCCCGGGCCUUGUACACACCGCCCGUCAAGCCAUGAAAGCCGGGGGUACCUGAAGUACGUAACCGCAAGGAGCGUCCUAGGGUAAAACUGGUAAUUGGGGCUAAGUCGUAACAAGGUAGCCGUACCGGAAGGUGCGGCUGGAACACCUCCUUUCUGGA
rnacentral:rRNA from 1 species